rnacentral:rRNA from 1 species
GAUGAACGCUGGCGGCGUGCCUAAUACAUGCAAGUCGAGCGAACGGACGAGAAGCUUGCUUCUCUGAUGUUAGCGGCGGACGGGUGAGUAACACGUGGAUAACCUACCUAUAAGACUGGGAUAACUUCGGGAAACCGGAGCUAAUACCGGAUAAUAUUUUGAACCGCAUGGUUCAAAAGUGAAAGACGGUCUUGCUGUCACUUAUAGAUGGAUCCGCGCUGCAUUAGCUAGUUGGUAAGGUAACGGCUUACCAAGGCAACGAUGCAUAGCCGACCUGUGAGGGUGAUCGGCCACACUGGAACUUGGACACGGUCCAGACUCCUACGGGAGGCCGCAGUAGGGAAUCUUCCGCAAUGGGCGAAAGCCUGACGGAGCAACGCCGCGUGAGUGAUGAAGGUCUUCGGAUCGUAAAACUCUGUUAUUAGGGAAGAACAUAUGUGUAAGUAACUGUGCACAUCUUGACGGUACCUAAUCAGAAAGCCACGGCUAACUACGUG